AGAUUAAGUUAUUAAGGGCGCACGGUGGAUGCCUUGGCACUAGAAGCCGAUGAAGGACGUUACUAACGACGAUAUGCUUUGGGGAGCUGUAAGUAAGCUUUGAUCCAGAGAUUUCCGAAUGGGGAAACCCAGCAUGAGUUAUGUCAUGUUAUCGAUAUGUGAAUACAUAGCAUAUCAGAAGGCACACCCGGAGAACUGAAACAUCUUAGUACCCGGAGGAAGAGAAAGAAAAUUCGAUUCCCUUAGUAGCGGCGAGCGAAACGGGAAGAGCCCAAACCAACAAGCUUGCUUGUUGGGGUUGUAGGACACUCUAUACGGAGUUACAAAGGACGACAUUAGACGAAUCAUCUGGAAAGAUGAAUCAAAGAAGGUAAUAAUCCUGUAGUCGAAAAUGUUGUCUCUCUUGAGUGGAUCCUGAGUACGGCGGGACACGUGAAAUCCCGUCGGAAUCUGGGAGGACCAUCUCCUAAGGCUAAAUACUCUCUAGUGACCGAUAGUGAACCAGUACCGUGAGGGAAAGGUGAAAAGCACCCCGGAAGGGGAGUGAAAUAGAACCUGAAACCGUGUGCUUACAAGUAGUCAGAGCCCGUUAAUGGGUGAUGGCGUGCCUUUUGUAGAAUGAACCGGCGAGUUACGAUUUGAUGCAAGGUUAAGCAGUAAAUGUGGAGCCGUAGCGAAAGCGAGUCUGAAUAGGGCGUUUAGUAUUUGGUCGUAGACCCGAAACCAGGUGAUCUACCCUUGGUCAGGUUGAAGUUCAGGUAACACUGAAUGGAGGACCGAACCGACUUACGUUGAAAAGUGAGCGGAUGAACUGAGGGUAGCGGAGAAAUUCCAAUCGAACCUGG
rnacentral:rRNA from 1 species